CAAGUCGAGGGGAAACGACAUCGAAAGCUUGCUUUUGGUGGGCGUCGACCGGCGCACGGGUGAGUAACGCGUAUCCAACCUGCCCACCACUUGGGGAUAACCUUGCGAAAGUAAGACUAAUACCCAAUGAUAUCUCUAGAAGACAUCUGAAAGAGAUUAAAGAUUUAUCGGUGAUGGAUGGGGAUGCGUCUGAUUAGCUUGUUGGCGGGGUAACGGCCCACCAAGGCAACGAUCAGUAGGGGUUCUGAGAGGAAGGUCCCCCACAUUGGAACUGAGACACGGUCCAAACUCCUACGGGAGGCAGCAGUGAGGAAUAUUGGUCAAUGGACGAGAGUCUGAACCAGCCAAGUAGCGUGCAGGAUGACGGCCCUAUGGGUUGUAAACUGCUUUUAUAAGGGAAUAAAGUGAGUCUCGUGAGACUUUUUGCAUGUACCUUAUGAAUAAGGACCGGCUAAUUCCGUGCCAGCAGCCGCGGUAAUACGGAAGGUCCGGGCGUUAUCCGGAUUUAUUGGGUUUAAAGGGAGCGUAGGCCGGAGAUUAAGCGUGUUGUGAAAUGUAGACGCUCAACGUCUGCACUGCAGCGCGAACUGGUUUCCUUGAGUACGCACAAAGUGGGCGGAAUUCGUGGUGUAGCGGUGAAAUGCUUAGAUAUCACGAAGAACUCCGAUUGCGAAGGCAGCUCACUGGAGCGCAACUGACGCUGAAGCUCGAAAGUGCGGGUAUCGAACAGGAUUAGAUACCCUGGUAGUCCGCACGGUAAACGAUGGAUGCCCGCUGUUGGUCUGAAUAGGUCAGCGGCCAAGCGAAAGCAUUAAGCAUCCCACCUGGGGAGUACGCCGGCAACGGUGAAACUCAAAGGAAUUGACGGAAGGGCGAAUU
rnacentral:rRNA from 1 species